GAGUCUAUAGAGUUCUAGGAUUAAGGUUAAAGGCCUCCUUUUUUCUCUCUUGGACCUUCAGGCGCCCCCUUGGGUCUCUUCCAAGCAAAUUUUCGUUUCUUUCCUUUUCCAAAGCCUUUUAAAAUAAACUUCCACUCCUGCUCUGAAACUUGCCUCGGUCUCUUUUCCUGCUUUAUGCACCUCAGUCGAAUUCUUUCUCCUGAGGAAGCAAGAGCUGAAGUUCCUGUGGGCUCCUGUGGAUGCCGCGGAAAACUCAGGGUAUCUCAGAUCUCUGCUGCCACUAACACUGAAGGAACACCAGGUGAUGGUGCAGAUUGAGCUGUAGACUCACCUAGACAAAUACCCCCUUGGGGUUCACUUCCUACCCAAGAAGCUGGAUGAGGCAGUGGCUGAAGUCCACCUGCACAGGCUAAAUGUGAAGUUGACCAAGCUGACUGAGAAGCAGGCCCAGUACCUGGGCAUGUCCUGUGAUGGCCCCUUCAAACUGGAUGACUACCACUACUGAGAACCAGGCCUGCCCUUCACCUACCAGCUGCUGUCCUUGCCCUGGCCCUGCCUCCCCUAAGAGCAAAUGACACCAACUUUGUGAUUGUUUUCAGUGUCCCCCAUUGACUCCCUGGGGCUGGUCACUUAGGUUUUGGCCUCUACUGCAUCCCUCAUACUGUUGCAAGUGUGGCAGGGGGAAUUGAAAAGCCCCCCCCCCCUCAAGCUCUGGUCAUGAUGAAGGUACAAGGGAGACAUCCACAGGGAACCAUGAGCUCAGUGGUCUUGGAAUUGCUCACUAAGUCAGUCCUUCCUUAGCCUGGAAGUUGGUCAUGGAGUCACAAAGCCCAUGUACUUUACCAUCUAGGCCUUCACCUGGUCUGUGGACUUACACCCGUGUGCUUGGUUUACUGGUUCAGUAGUUCCUCAGACCAUGACAAAUGGAAGGAGCUAUACUGAAGAACAAUGAGGAACUCUUUGAAUUUUCCUGAGCACGUGACUUACUGCUGGGCCUUCCCUUAAACAUCAGAACAAUGAGAUUUGUCCCUAUUUUACAGGGGUUAGAAUAGACUAUUAAGGGACAACUGAGAAAGGACAGAGAAGUGACAGCCAGAGGUUGAGAGGGGCCAUAAAAACAUACAAUCAGACAUAUAUCUGCUACCACUUUGUAGCAAGAUGGUUCCUAUCAUAACUCUGGGUCAAAAAGAUAGUAAUUUGGUUUAUAAUGUUGAAAGAAAGCAGAAAGGUGGAGAUGGGGUCUCACUGUCGUUCUGGAGUGUAGUGGUUCAAUCAUCUCUCACUGCAGCCUUGAACCCCUAGGCUCAAAGGAUCCUCCCACCUCAGCCUCCUGAAUAGCUGGGACUAGAGGCAUGAGCCACUAUGUCUUGCUGAUUAAAAAUUGUUUUUGCAAAGUUGGAUGUCUCACUUUACUGCCUAAGCUGGUCUUGAAAUCCUGGCUUCAAGCAAUCCUUUCACUUUGGCCUCCCAAAAUGCUGGGAUUACAGGCAUGAGUCAAUAUGCCCAGUCUCUUUUCUUUCUUAGUUACUCUAGAAAAUGGCUUGUUGAUUUUGUUAUUUCAAAAAAAUAAAUGUUUUAUUUUGUUGUAUUGUUUGUUUUUGUCUCUAUUUUGUUUAGUUCUACUCUGAUCCUUAUUAUUUAUUUCCUACUACUCAUAUUUGGAUUGGUUGGUUCUUCCUUUUCUAGUUCCUUGCGGUGAAUUGUUAGAUUGUUUAAUUGAAAUCUUUUUACUUUUUUGAUGUGUUUUUACAGAUUCCAAAAAUUUUUUUUAUGUUGAUUUCUAGUUUUAUUCCUUUGUGAUCUGAGAAGAUACUUGAUAUGGUUUUGAUUUUUAAAAAGUAUUGAGUUUUUUUUUUUUGUGGCCUAACCUGUGGUCUAUCCUGGAGAAUGUUCUAUGUGCUGAGAAGAAUGUGUAUUUUGCAGAUGUUGGAUAAAAAGUUCUGUUAAUGUCUGUUAGGUGCAUUUGGUCUAUGGUGUAGUUUAGAUCUGAUUUUUUUUUGUUGACUUUCUGCUUAAUCUUUACAGUGAUGAAAGUGAAGUUUAUUUUGCCACAGUUGAGGAUGCAUACCCAUGACACAGCCUCAGGAGGUCCUGACAACAUGUGCCCAAGGUGGCACAGUUUGGUUUUAUACAUUUUAGGGAGACAUGAGACAUCAUUCAGCAUAUGUAAGAUGAAACAUUGGUUUGGUCUGAAAAGGCGGGACAUCUCAAAUCAGGGAGGGACCCUCCAGGUCAUAGGCAGAUAAGAGACAAAUGGUUGCAUUCUUUUGAGUUUCUGAUUAGCCUCUUAAAAGGAGGCAAUCUGAUAUGCAUUUAUCUCAGUGAGCAGAGGGUGACUUUGAAUUGAAUGGAAGGCAGGUUUGCCCUAAGCAGUUCUCAGCUUUACUUUUCUCUUUAGCUUAGUGAUUUUGCAGCCUCAAGAUUUAUUUUCCUUUCACAUUUUCUCCUUUUUAUUUCUCAAAAUCUUUUGGAGAAAGCAUAUUAGAAGAAAAUUAGUCUUUGUCCUCAGGUUUUAUCUGAUCUCUCAUGGCUAGGAUGGUUUAUUCCUAGAUGGGUAGGUCCUGAGUUAUUAGGAAAAUUCAUUUUUGGCAGAUUGUGAAGUCUCAUGUUCUAUGAAGGGAAAAUAGGGAGAGAAAGGGAGAAAAGCAACAAUAACAAAAGAACAAUCCUGGAGAAUUGAUAUAGACCACAUUACUCUGAAGUCUAUAUGUUAGUAGGCAGGUAUGAAAGUGGGUUAUGUAUGUAAAUAGGUUGCUGUUAUUUUCUUCUAAAGUUUAAGUUGUCUAGCUUCAGUUCACAGGGCUUUAUGAAAGUACAGCUUAGUUUUCAAUGACUCCAAAUUAGGAAAAAUGGGGGAAAAAGAAGAAAAAAAACUGAAAACAUUUUGAAGACUUAUAGCCCAGAAACAUUAGAAUUCAGUCCUAAUUGUAGAAAAUAAUAAAAAUGGAAAAACAUUAGGCAAGACUAGACUCUAACAACAGUUGUACUAUAGUUUUUGAAAUAGAAUUUUUCUCUCUCCAGUUUCCCACUUUUACUAAAGACAAAUCAUGGUAGGAUUAAUUUGCUUUAUUAUACUUGGCCUAAUUAUGUGUAUAAAGUGCAGAAAGAAUAAUUUUUUUACACAGGCUUUUAAAUUGGCUUUGAUGGAACUUUGUUCUAUAGAAGGAGUCUCAAAUAAGACUUUUUUAAAGCCAAGCCCAGCCAUGGGUUUGUAGCAUCAAGUACCUAUGAGUUGGGUGAAUUCUUUUACUCUUGAGAUUCCAAGAUAAACUUGGGGCUCCUGGGCCUGUCAGAAAGUGACAUGCUUUACUUACCACACAUCAGGAAUCCUGUACAGGGACUGUGUAGACAAGGUAUGAGGCCAGUUUUCCCAAGUAGCUUUUAUUGGCUCCAUAAGUCAAGUUUGAUUCCUUAAAGGAAAGCACACCAUUCCAGCCAAAGCCUUCAUAAAAUAACCAGUUUCCCUUAUUGUGCCCUGUUAUAAAUAAAAACAGAUUCUUAUUGAACUUAUGCAAAUAACUGUAUUGACAUGAGUUAAAGAUACUCACAAAUAGUUUUCAAAUUCUGGAUAAAUCAGGUAGAGAGAAACAAAUAUAUUCUAAAUUUUGUUCAUAGGAGUAUAUUAAAUUGUUAAAAGCUGUCAGUAGCUCAAAAGAAAAGUUUAUUUGCCACCGAAAAAACAAAACAAAGAAUCAGAAACAUUUUAAGCAUAAGUGAAAAAGAUUACUUUAGUCUUCUAUUAGUUCACCCCAUGUAGUUAAUUCCUGUUCUGCUUGAUAGUCAUGAACAUUUCAGUUCUCCAUAAGUCCUAAAAGUUUUUCUUCUAUUCCAAUGUCACAAUAUCCAAAGUUAUCAGAAACUUGUAUUCAAGAGUACCUGUUAGAAUUUUAUAGCUGAUUAGAAAACUACCUUUUAAAGAGGACCAAAACAAGACAAUUGUCCAUGGAUGACAAAAUGUUUUAGGGCAACCAUAGUCAAAGACUAUAGUCAUAGUCAUAGUCAAUAGACAGGGAAAGUUGUUACCUUUGUGGCACAUGAUAAUUUAACAUAAUUAUAAUUAUUACUAAUAAUGUACACUAAUUCAUAUGAGAAUUACAGGAGUUUCCCAUAAUUUUGGAAUACAUACCAAUAACAUAUUUCUACAAACAUAGGCCAAAGAAAUUUAAACACCAUUUUAUAUUUGACAAUGUUUCAUAUAUUUUAUUUAUAUAUAUAAUGCUUAUAUAAUAUAUAUAUAAUAUAUAUAUAUACAAAACGUUUAUUCCAAAUAAGCAAAUUAUGUCAUUUUUGAACUUUAAGGAACCUAAUAUCUUAAAGGAUUAAGUCAGAAAAAGACAUAAUUUAUAUCUUUAUUUUGGAAAGUUUGUCAAAUAUCAAAGAUUUAAAACAUUUGACAUUACAGGUCAUUGUAAAAUAAGUCAUUCAUUUGACCAAAGUGAUAACUCAAGGAUUUCAAAAAAAGGUGAAAAUCUUCAUUCUUUGAGAGAGGAGACUCAAUUUCCCAAACAGUAAGCCCUAAUAAAAACAACAUUAAGCCAAUUAAAUUUGUUUCUCAAAAUUUUAUAAACAAUCUAUAAAAUUUUAGUCUUGAUCAUAAGAUAUAACUUCCAUAAGUCUUUUAUAACAUUUAUAACCUUUAUUAAAGAGUCAGUUAAUGCUUCAAGAAAACCUUUGUUAUCUGACACAGGGGCCCAUAUGUCGGUCUUGCAUCAGUGUGACUUUGACAUUAAGGAUUAAUUUAUAGAAAAACUAAACUUGUUUUAUCUUUCAAAUCACCCCUUACAAUCUCACAUGCCUGUCUCUUCCAUGAUAGCCCCUGGGCCUUAAGGAGCUGAAUAGCUUUAAUUUCUGGCCCUAUGUCUCUGGAUUGCAGUUUAUUUUGAUUGGCUUCUUUUACCAGGCCUGAAGAUGAGGCUUUAAUUCCUGUCAGUGUUUAAGAUUUAGCAGAACUUGGUGUCCUUUUUAGACCCAGGAGUCAAAGCUCUGUAACUCAAUGUCACAAUGACUCUAAAAGCCCAUACGGAAAGAUACACAAAUGUAAUAACCUUAAAUAAAAAAAUUCUUUUAAUUUUGGUUUUUCCCCUAAGCAAACAAAAACUUAAUAAUAAUAAUAAUAGCAUAGAAAUUGCUUUCACAAACCCUAAAAUCUGUUAUGACAAUUACCAAAAGGCAAAAGAAAAGACCUGCUGUACUGCAUACAGUAUUCUGUUGGAAGAAAACAUUUCCUUUAGACCUUUAAGAAAACAUUGUUAGCAUCAGGCCUCAACAAACAGAACUUGAGGAAAAGAAUUUAUAUAAGCUGAAAAAUGAGCUGGAGAGCAUUACUAUUUCUCACCCUUUAAAACUGCAGAGAAAACCAAAAUGGCAAGAUGCAAUAAAAUUUGAACUUUUGGUUAAAAAAAUUAAAUUCUUUCAUAAUUGAGAGUAAAUCAAUCCCCUAAGAAAAUUUUAUCAUUCUAACUAAUUAGUGUGUGUUUCCUUUUUUUACUUCAAGCCCAAUCUCUAGAUAGACUAUCAUAAUUUUAUUUUAAUUAAUAGACAACUUGAUCAUAUAACAGUUUUUUUUAAGUAAAUCCUCUUACUGUCACUUAUGCAGACCAUUCACGACAUGCUUGAACGUUCAAAUUCUUUUUUUUUUUUUUUUUUUUUUUCUCCUGAAUAUCCCUCUUCCUUAAACAACCAGUCAUUUUAUUCUAGGACUAAAUAUACCAUACAAGAUUCUUUCUCAUAUAAAAUUAUUUCUCUUUAAGCUUCUUACCAAAAAAUACGCCCAAAGGGGUGAAUGGUGCCUUUGUUCUGAAUUCUUUAAAGGGGUUCAAGUCACUAGAAGUCUUCUCUAGAUUUUGUAGUACUGCAUAUGGCAAAGGGGGAAGGAGGUAUAGUGUGAAAGAAAAGUGAAUGAAAAAAUAUUUGUUUUCUAAGACAGGAAGCAAGCUCAGAAACCAAGCACGUGUUUGUUUUUUUCCCUUCCUGUGCAGUGGAGAGGAAUUUUAGCCAAAUUAGAGAGGCUUUGUUACCCAAAAUUUGAAAUUCUCACUCAGAUUUGACCAAAUCUGAUGGAAGAAAGUCUGGAAAAAACAAUAAAAAAACCCAACAAUAUGAUUACUGGGCACUCUAAUGGUAAAGAGAAAUUAGGAACAGCUGGUUGUUAACUUACUUAGGGAUGGGUCUCAGGCUGAAGACAGCCUCUACCAUCCUAGAGUCAGGAAUAAAACUCAAACUCAUCUUCCCUGUUGGGAGCGAGCUCCAACUCCAUAGAGGAAUUACCUGCCUUCCAUCAUCAUGGAAGCAAGAAAUCUUGCCUUCCUUGUUGGAAGCAAGUAAAACUUCAAAAAAUGGAGUUGUACGGCAAAAUAAACUUCAGAUCUUAACCAAAUUUUGGGAGAUCAGGUAUUCUCUGUGAAGCAGUAUUGUUUGUCUGGGGUAAUACCUGAGGUUUGUUGCCUGACACCAAGGAAAUCAAGGACACAAACACACCAGAGUGAAGUUAAGUGUGGAAGUUUAAUAGGCUAGAGAAAGAAAAAAAACUCUCUCUCCAGAGAGAGAAGGGGUUCCAAGUGGGUCUUCUGGUUUCGUGAUGAAAUGCAUGUGGUUUUAUGGAUUAGCUUGAGGAGGCAUAGUGUGAUUUACACAGGAGACGAGAGAUUGGGAGGAGCAGGUGUGCCAUUUACAUAGCACACAAAGAAGCUGGCAGCCCCAUCCUAAUCUUUUAUUAUGCAGAUGGGUCCCCUACCUGGCUGGCACCAUGUUGUCUGUUCCUUUACUGUACAUGUGAUUGAAAGAGAAAAGGGAAGAUGGAGCCUCCAUGUUGAACAUGCCUGGCCCCCAGGUAGCCUUUUCCUAUUGGCACAACUGCCAGCACUCACCCAUGCAAGCUUCUAGCUUGCUUUUCCAUGUCUGCAGCUUGAUUUUUCAGGCUGCUCUUUGUUAGAAAAGAAAUGAUUUGGGGUCUGCUUUUUAUUAAAAGCAAAACCUUGCUAAGGACUCUCUUACCCUCAUUAACUGCCUAAAUAAUUUCUUUCUAGCUCCUGUAUCAUCUGGAGGGGGUGCUCCCAGACCUCAGCAAAUUGUCCUAUUGGUUUGAGCCAUAAAGUUAGCUCAUGCGGGUACCAAGCACCAAUAGGAGAUUUUUCAAAGGUCAAGGGGCAUCUCCAUUCAGAAUCCCUCCACAGUUAACAAAAUGUGAAUCCUGUAUAUCUGAGAUAGGUCUCAGUUAAUUUAAAAAGUUCAUUUUGCCAAGGUUGAGGAUGCACACAAAGGACAUAGCCUCAGGUUGUCCUGAGGACAUGUGCCCAAGGCGCUCAGAGCGCAGUUUGGUUUUAUACAUUUUAGGGAGACAUGAGACAUCAAUCAACAUAUGUAAGAUGAACAUUGGUUCAGUCUGGAAAGACAGGACAACUCGAAGCAAAGGCAGGACAACUCGAAGCAGGGAGGGAACUCCCAGGUCAUAGGUAGAUAAGAGACAAAUGGUUACAUUCUUUUGAGUUUCUGACUAGCCCCUCCAAAGACCAAAUGCAAUCAGAUAUGCAUUUAUCUCAGUGAGCAGAGGGGUGACUGAAUAGAAUAGGAGGCAGGUUUGCCCUAAGCAGUUCCCAGCUUGACUUUUCCCUUUAGCUUAGUGAUUUUGGGGCCCCAAGAUUUAUUUUCCUUUCACAAAGUCUCCAACUAUUAUUACAUUAGGGGUCUAUCUCUCCCUUUAGAUCUAAUUGUAUUUGCUUUACAUUGGUGCUCCAGUGUUGGGUGCAUAUAUAUUUAUAAUUGUUAUACCUUCUUGCUAAAUUUAUUUCUUCAUCAUUAUUUAAUGAUUUUCUUUGUCUAUUUUUAUGUUUUUUGACUUAAAGUCUAUUUUGUCUGACAUAAAUAGAGCUAUUCUUGGAUGCUUUUGAUUUCCAUUUGCAUGGAAUAUUAUUUUCCAUCCCUUUACUGUCAGUCUUCAUCCCAUUGGUGGCAUUCAUGGGUGCUGGUGUUGGUGGUAGCAGGCUCUGGGCAGGCCAUUCCUUUAGCCCUUGGGCAGUAUGUGCAGGUGUGAGAUGACACUACCACUAGAGUGGAUGUGUCCUGCAGCAGAAGCAGCAAAAGCCCAGGCAGGUGGCUUUCAGGGUCUGGGGAGCACACACACCAGUCUUCUGGCUCCACAGGGUAUAAGGGGCUGCAUGGGCUCAGGUGCCAGGGUCACAGCUGCACAGCUAUAACAGAUCUCAGUUGUGUCUUUAUGCAGCAACACUCUGGGUACCUGUGGUGGGAUGUGGAUGAGACCCCAGGGAUGGAUGUGGAGAUGAAGGAGCAAUUGGGCCCCUGGACAGUAUGUACUCUGGUGAUGGCUCCACUCCCAAAAUGGUGCCAUGCUGCAGCCCUGGGUCCUGGGACAUUGGGGGAAUCCAGCAUAAAUUCUCUCUCUGGAGUAGUAAAGUCAUGUGGACUCUAGGCAGUACCCUAUACUAGACUAAGGGACUGUGAGGGCUGAGGGCUCUCCUGUAGCUAUGACUGCAGGUGUCUGGUGGAAAUAUAGACUUCUGGGGACCUCCUGCUAACCUUUUCUCCGCAAUGGGGAGGGAGUCCCUCCUGGCUCCAAGCACAUCUCGGUAGGCUGCAUUGCUUACCUCUCUAUGCUGUCAUCCUGAGUUUUUGUGCCUCAAAGUUUCUUUUCUUUGAAUUUGAACACUAUCUGCUGAAUUCCAGUGUUCUUCCUUAGACAUUCUAGUCAAUGUGUGUUUAUCAAUUUGUUACUUUGGUCCUUCUUUGUGGAGAAGGUGAGUGCUAGGCAUCUCUAGCCAUUUGAUCUCUCUGUCUUCUUUUGAGCUACUGACUCUUAAAAAACCUUUUUAUUGUGGCAAAAUAUACAUAGCAUAAAAUUUGCCAUUGAAACCAUUUUCAAGUGUAUAACUUAGUGUCAUUAAGUACAUUCACCACGUUGUGUAACCACCUCUACUAUUCAUCUCUGAAACAUUUUCACAAUCUCAAACACAAACUCUACACAUUAAAUAAUUGUGCUUAUGCUUAAUUUUCACUCAACUAUGUACAUUUUUGAUUCCCUAUUUAUAUCUCCCUAUUUUAUCUUUAUAAGAUACAAAGAUAUAAAUGAAGAGCAGCAUGAAAUUGCAUCAACAUUCAAGUUUGUUGUGUUCUUUUUCCAGCUUUUCUUCUACUGCCCUAUAUAAUUAUCAUUCUCUUUAAAAUACAUACGCUAUUGCAACUGGAUUCAUUUUUAGAAACUGGUUUUCAAACAAAAGCUUAAAAUCUCCAUAACCGGCUGUGGAUAUUGCUGCCGUUGCUGGUUUUGAAACUACAUUUUCUCGUAACCUCUUGUGAAAUUUCUUCAGGACACUAGGCAGAUGAAGCAAGCUUAACUCUGUCAGUAGGAUGAAAUAUGUAGUUUUAAACUUCCCUAAUUGUUUUAAACUUUUUUAAACAUUCCUAAAUAAAAUAAACUUCCCUAAAUAAGAGAAAACUUCCCUAAAUAAGAUUGUUUUAAACUUCCCUAAAUAAGAUAAAAACCACCCACCACAAAACUCAGUGUACAAUGUGACCUAAACUAAUAAUUCUCAUGUUUUUGCCUCUCAUCAUGUGGGGACUACAGGUCUUCAUGAACACUGGCACUUCUGAGUACAAAGAAUAGAAUCAGCAAAGGAGAGUUAUCUGGACCUCAGUUUCAUCUAAUUGUUGUUGUAUUAUUUUAAGGUGUUGCUUUUCUUAAAUAGCUUAAAAAGGGAAAAGAUUGUGUUUAGCCAUUAAAAGUAAAAAGGAAAGGUAACAAAAGACUGUUAACGUUUCCAAAGAAAAUAUACAAAUGGCCAGAAAUCCCAUGAAAAUAUGCUCAACAUCAUUAGCCACCACGGAAAUGCAAAUCAAAACCACAAUGAGAUUAGCCAGGAAUGGUGGCGUGUGCCUGUAGGCCCAGCUAUUUGGGAGGCUGAGGCAGGAGGACCGCUUGAACCCAAGAGAUUGAGGUUACAGUGAGCUGAUUGCACCACUGCACUCCAGCUUGGGUGACAGAGUGAGACCCUGUCUUAAAAAAAAAAAAAAACCCACAACGAGAUGAUACUUCAUACCUCACAGCCCAAGGUUGCUCACAGUCCCUAAGUGCAGUAGAGGGUGCUGCCUAGAGUCCAUAUGACUUUAUUAUUCCAGAGAAAGAAUUUAUGCUGGGUUCCCCCAGUGGCCCAGGACCCAGGUUGCUGCAGCAUGGCACGUUCAGGAAUGGGACUGGAGCCACCACCAGAGCACAUCUUGUCCUGGGGCCCAAUACUGGGAUGGCUACAAGGAAAAAGACAAUAACAAAUGCUGGUGAGGGUGUGGAGAAAUGCAAAACCCCCUGCACACUAAUGGAAAUAUAAAAUAGUGCAGCUACUUUGUAAAACACUGGCAAUUUUACAAAAAGUUAAACAGAGCUACCAUCUUAUUCAGAAGUUCCACUUCUAGGUAUAUACCCCAGAUAUCUGAAAACAUGUAAACGCAAAAACUUGUACACAAACGUUUAUGAAAACAACAUAACAACAUUCAUAAUUUUUUUGUCGACAUAUUGAAUUAGGGCCCACACUAAUAACCUCACUGUAACUUAAUUACCCUGUAAAGACCCUAUCUCCAAAUGAGGCAGGAGAAUAGGGUCUGGGGGCAGGAGAAUAAAUAGGGUCUGGAGGCAGGGAACUUAAGGCCAAUUCAUGCCAAAUCAAGGAAAAUCUCCAAGGUCUAGAGGCAAGGAAUCUGAGGCCAAUUUGUGCUAACUUCCUAAAAGAGAAAACACCAAGGUCUGGGGGCAGGGAAUAUGAGGCCGAUUCGUGAUAAUUUCAUAAAGCUGGAUCAAAAGGAAAACACCUGUGUCUGGGGGCAGGGACCCUAAGGCCAAUUAACUUAAACUUCCUACAGCUAAACCCAAAGGAAAAACCCCAUCUUCCCACACCGAUAACAAAGGCUCAAAGGCUACUCUCCUUACCACCUCCCCACUCCACCAAGGCUCACAGCGAAAGGGAGAGUGCCUUGAACUGCCUGAGGGCCAAGCAGGGACCAUCCCUGCAUCUGCACAGGUUGCCAGUUCACCUCAGCCUCAGCCACAGACCAAAUCCUUCAUCCAGAUAAGGGGUUACCCAUAGGAACCUCAAAAGAAGUACUUGAAGCCCAGAAAACCUUGUAACUGGGUCCUUGAGUGGCUUGCUGGGACCCGCUCCCACCCUGCGGAGUGCUUUCUCACUUUAAUCCCUGCGUUUGCUACUUCAUUCCUGUGUUUCAUUCCUUUGUUACUUUGUGCAUUUUGUCCAAUUCUUUGUUCAAAACGCCAAGGACCCAGACAACUCACUCAAGACCCUCCUUCCAGUAACACAAGCACAGUCACAUCUGGAGGUACUGGGGGUUAGGUCUUCAAUAUAUACAUUUUUAGGGGCAACAUUCAGUCAUAACAACCAAUAAUGCUUAGUUUACAUGCUUCUGUUAGUCUAUCCACAUGUGUAAAAGUUGGGUACAUGAGCUGCCGAAUAUAUUCUAUUUCUACACAACAAUCAGGAAUGUUUAGAGGAGGUGAAAAUUCAAAGACUGGGGACACCCAAUUGGUGAAACUUCAGGUCAGAAAAUGGAAUUUUGAAAGUGCUUUUUUGUGCUGAGUUGGGAACCAGUGACUGAGGAGAAGUUGCAGAAUAGUUGCCUAUUGCUUUACGUUUGGGAGGGUGAUAAUGAAUAAAAAACAAGCCUGUAAUCUCUUGUCCGCACACAUUUCUAG
rnacentral:lncRNA from 1 species